rnacentral:snRNA from 11 species
UCUCUGAACGUGAUGCGUCGGAGGAGCCGAGGCGUGCAUUGGCGGGAUUGUUGGGGUCAACCCCCCAUAUGGGCGACCCCCC